UACGUAGGGUGCAAGCGUUGUCCGGAAUUAUUGGGCGUAAAGGGCUCGUAGGCGGUCUGUCACGUCGGGAGUGAAAACUCAGGGCUUAACCCUGAGCCUGCUUCCGAUACGGGCAGACUAGAGGUAUGCAGGGGAGAACGGAAUUCCUGGUGUAGCGGUGAAAUGCGCAGAUAUCAGGAGGAACACCGGUGGCGAAGGCGGGUCUCUGGGCCGAUACUGACGCUGAGGAGCGAAAGCAUGGGGAGCGAACAGG
rnacentral:rRNA from 1 species